CUUGGCGUGGCUUCUCUUUUAUUAAUAGAUCAUGUUAUUCUUGUUUAUCAUAAUCCCCACUAUUCUUUACUAGUUUGUUACCACUAGUUUAGUUUAACUUGAGUAUCAUCACUUGUGUGUUAUAUUGUGAUCAGUCAAUUGCCAGUACUAGGUAAGUGUCGGGUGGACAUUAUUGGUGUCUACCCCACAUCCAUUCCCCUUCCCUCACCUUAAGAGAACCAGGAUUUUUUUUUCAGGUAUCCAUAUAGCCCCUUUGAUUCCACAAAUCUUAGGGAAAACUCCAAUCUCCAAGGAUUGCUUUAAAUAUUAAGUUCCAUUACCCAAGCCAGAGUCCUAGUCAGCAAUGGACAGUUUAAUCAGGGUGAAUUUCUUUGAAUACUAGAACUGAAGACGUUUUUUAUCUUCCAGAUUUUUUGUGUGAGACUGAAACUGUUGGAGCCUUCCUGCUACCAUCCUUGAGAAUGGAGUGACCACACAGGGCUGAGAUACUCUCCUCCUACUCUUGGACAUCAGAACUCUAGGCUCUCCAGACUUGGAACUCCAGGACUCACAACAGUGACCUCCCAGGUGUUCAGGUCUUCAGCCUUGGACUGAGAAUUACAGUAUCGGUUUUCCUGAUUCUGAAGCUUUCAGACUUGGAAUGAGCCACACUAUCAGCAUCCUAGGGUCUUAAGCUUGCCGAUAGCCUGUUGUGAGACUUCCCUGUCUCCAUAAUUAUGUAACUCCAUUCCCCUAAUAAAUCUCUUAUCUAACUGUCUAUCUUUCUAUCUAGCUAUCUACCUACCUACCUACCUGUCCAUCCAUCCAUCCAUCCAUCCAUCCAUCCAACCAUCCUAUUGGUUCUCUUCCUCUGAAAAUCCUCAUACAGCUGCCAACUCAAAUUAGGCAACUGAAAUUGUUGCUAAGAGGCAUCUACAUUGCAGUCCUCAAUCAAUAGAGUGGCAGCGUAGCUACAACAGGGCACUUAGCAUAUCUGUGAGAGGUGAUGUCCUUGUCUCAUCAUGUUCUUUUGUUAAAAAUUCAAGUGUGUGGAGUGAGGGGUUGACUGUUCCUAGAUUCAGAAUGUUAGUUUGGGCUAAUCAAAGUUUUACUGUAAUAAAAACAGAUUAGAGCUUCUUUUUUUAGACUUA